UACGUAGGUGGCAAGCGUUGUCCGGAAUCAUUGGGCGUAAAGCGCGCGCAGGCGGCCUUUUAAGUCUGAUGUGAAAGCCCACGGCUCAACCGUGGAAGGUCAUUGGAAACUGAAAGGCUUGAGUACAGAAGAGGAAAGCGGAAUUCCACGUGUAGCGGUGAAAUGCGUAGAGAUGUGGAGGAACACCAGUGGCGAAGGCGGCUCACUGGCCCGAUACUGACGCUGAGGCACGAAAGCGUGGGGAGCAAACAGG
rnacentral:rRNA from 1 species